rnacentral:rRNA from 1 species
ACUCCUACGGGAGGCAGCAGUGGGGAAUUUUGGACAAUGGGCGAAAGCCUGAUCCAGCAAUGCCGCGUGCAGGAUGAAGGCCUUCGGGUUGUAAACUGCUUUUGUACGGAACGAAAAAGCUCCUUCUAAUACAGGGGGCCCAUGACGGUACCGUAAGAAUAAGCACCGGCUAACUACGUGCCAGCAGCCGCGGUAAUACGUAGGGUGCGAGCGUUAAUCGGAAUUACUGGGCGUAAAGCGUGCGCAGGCGGUUAUGUAAGACAGAUGUGAAAUCCCCGGGCUCAACCUGGGAACUGCAUUUGUGACUGCAUGGCUAGAGUACGGUAGAGGGGGAUGGAAUUCCGCGUGUAGCAGUGAAAUGCGUAGAUAUGCGGAGGAACACCGAUGGCGAAGGCAAUCCCCUGGACCUGUACUGACGCUCAUGCACGAAAGCGUGGGGAGCAAACAGGAUUAGAAACCCCGGUAGUCCCAUGA